rnacentral:misc_RNA from 1 species
ACAUCCUCUUUUGUCAAAACCACAUAUGGAAGUUUCUCAACAACAGAUUUUGCUGCCGGAGGCCGACCAAUCAAUGAAUUCUCAUUCUCUGCAAAUUGCCCAAACAACAUCUCAUACUCAGAAGUGUAAAUAAAAUCAUCAUGGUCCCCAAAAUAAAGCUCAGCAUUAUGGUCCUGGAUGCGGUCCAGAUUUGAGUCGAAGUUGUUUGCGUUCAACAAAACUUCCCAUUCCAAAUUUCCCAAUCCUCCUACCCUCUCUACACUCACCA